UGUGGGAGCUGGCUUGCCUGCGAUAGCGGAGUGUCAGUCUCCUUAUCGGGUGCUGAUACACCGCUAUCGCAGGCAAGCCAGCUCCCACA
rnacentral:misc_RNA from 1 species